UACGAAGGGUGCAAGCGUUACUCGGAAUUACUGGGCGUAAAGCGUGCGUAGGUGGUCGUUUAAGUCCGUUGUGAAAGCCCUGGGCUCAACCUGGGAACUGCAGUGGAUACUGGGCGACUAGAAUGUGGUAGAGGGUAGCGGAAUUCCUGGUGUAGCAGUGAAAUGCGUAGAGAUCAGGAGGAACAUCCAUGGCGAAGGCAGCUACCUGGACCAACAUUGACACUGAGGCACGAAAGCGUGGGGAGCAAACAGGAUUAGAUACCCUGGUAGUCCACGCCCUAAACGAUGCGAACUGGAUGUUGGGUGCAAUUUGGCACGCAGUAUCGAAGCUAACGCGUUAAGUUCGCCGCCUGGGGAGUACGGUCGCAAGACUGAAACUCA
rnacentral:rRNA from 1 species